UUUCGCGAAUCAUCGCCGUGGACGGACAGGAACAUAAAGAAUGUUGAAAAACGUUGAAGAAUGAAUUAUUACACAGAAUACAUGUAUAUAGAUCUCCAUUUAUACGAGUGGUAGUACAGAGUUUGCAGAUAAACAUGCAGAGUUCGAUUUCUCGGUAGUUUUCGGUUAUCUUCCAAAUAGAGGACGGAUUUGAGUUUAUAUAAAGUUCUGUGAAAUGUGAAGUCACGAUCGUGAGACAUACGUGUUCGCCGCUGGGAAACAUGUGAUGCAGUCACUUUGUCACGUACAAUUUUCCUCCAGGAAGGUUUUUCAGGAAAAAAUCCAUCGUCCAGAAAUGUCCACAAAUGAUCAGUAAGAUCAUAUGAUUGUAGAAUACUCAUAAUAUCAGGGAAAAAUCCCAACUGGUUUGUCGAGAGAUCGUGAAAAUAAGAAAAUAAUCUUGUGAGGAAAAUGUUCUUUGUUAACAUUUUUGGGUUGAGGCGACAUAGUCGGCCUAGGAAUAGCAGCUUUCGAACGUCUAUUUCUGCACAUAUGGGGAGUACAUCGAAAUACGAUUCACACAUAUCUGAUCUGCUUAAUUUGUGUAAGUUUAGUGAGUUUUUGCAAAUAAAAUGUUGGAAUGUAUUCAGCUGGUUUCUGUCUCUAAACGACAAAUUAUUCCAGAGUUCGCACCCAUAGAGUACUGAUGGUAGCACAGUUGUUUUGUACAGAUGAGUCAAUGUUCUAGGAUUUAGGAAUCGUGAACCAAGGUCAGAUAGUGCAAAAUAUGACUUCCGUCCCUUGUUACAAGCCUCCUGUAUUCGGUCAGAGAGUUUACAUUUUUCAUUUAUAAUUAUACCUAGAUGGUUGUAAGACCGGUUGCACGAUACAAUCGCUGGACCUAGAUGCCAGGACAUGUUGCAUGUGUCUAGUUUAUAGCUCCUUGUGCACGGAACUGCAAUACGCACGAUUUGGAUGCGUUGAAUGUAAAUCGCCAUUUGCAAGCGUACCUAUAUGCAAUGUCUAACAGUUUUGGAAGCGCAAGUGGAGUGACAGCAAUUAAAGACAAGUCGUCUGCUAAGGAGGGGCAGCUGCUGGGUAUAUUAAGUAUACCUGUGUUUGGGCUACCAUACUGUAACGCUUGAAUAAGGUCGUUGAUGUAAACAAGAUAAAGAAAGGUAGACAUGGGCCCGUUUCACUAAAAGGCGUACGCCUGGCGUAACUUUACGCCUGUCGUAAGUCCGGACUUAAGUCAAAUAUUUGGCCUAAGGUCCGUUUCACUAAAAGGCGUAACUUUGCGCCCGCUUUAAGUUAAGACAAAAAUCUACGCCUAGCCAAGGGUAGUCGUAACUUAUGGCGUAAACAGGAAUGGGCUGCUAAUUCUGUUGCCGAGGGUAUCGGUGCUGACCGUAAUGUUAAAUUGUACAAUUUGUCGUGUAAAUUUUAUUAAUUUCAUAUGAAAUAAAGAAAAUAAAGAGUUUUGAUUGGUGGUACCAAUUCUCGGAU
rnacentral:sRNA from 1 species